GACGAACGCUGGCGGCGUGCUUAACACAUGCCAGUCGAACGGUAAGGCCCUUCGGGGUCCCCGAGUGGGGAACGGGUGGGUAAGGCGUGAGUAACCUGCCCUUCACUCUGGGAUAACAGUUGGAAACGGCUGCUAAUACGGGAAAUUCAGCUCCUGUCGCAUGGUGGGGGUUGGAAAGUUUUGGUGGUGGGGGGUGGGCUCGCGUCCUAUCAGCUUGUUGGUGGGGUGUUGGCCUACCAAGGCGUCGACGGGUAGCCGGCCUGAGAGGGCGACCGGCCACAUUGGGACUGCGGUACGGCCCAAACGCCUACGGGAGGCAGCAGUGGGGAAUAUUGCACAAUGGGCGGAAGCCUGAUGCAGCAACGCCGCGUGCGGAAUGACGGCCUUCGGGUUGUAAACCGCUUCCAGCAGGGACGAAGCGAAAGUGACGGUACCUGCAGAAGAAGCACCGGCUAACUACGUG
rnacentral:rRNA from 1 species